AGAAGUGAGAAGCGAGGAUUAAG
rnacentral:siRNA from 1 species